AGGUGCUGCAAGCGCGGGUGAUGGACGAGUGGUUCCCGCUGCAGGGCGGGGGGCAGAGCCGGCUCCACCUGCGCCUGGAGUGGCUCUCGCUGCUCCCCGAUGCCUCCAAGCUGGAUCAGGUUUUGGAAAUGAACCGAAAUAUCGCGGCCAACCCCGACCCCCCCUCCUCCGCCAUCCUGGUCGUGUACCUGGACAGGGCUGAGGGGCUGCCCUUGAGGAAAACAGGCA